UUGAACUGAAGAGUUUGAUCCUGGCUCAGAUUGAACGCUGGCGGCAUGCCUUACACAUGCAAGUCGAACGGCAGCACUGGCUUCGGCCUGGUGGCGAGUGGCGAACGGGUGAGUAAUACAUCGGAACAUGUCCUGUAGUGGGGGAUAGCCCGGCGAAAGCCGGAUUAAUACCGCAUACGAUCCACGGAUGAAAGCGGGGGACCUUCGGGCCUCGCGCUAUAGGGUUGGCCGAUGGCUGAUUAGCUAGUUGGUGGGGUAAAGGCCUACCAAGGCGACGAUCAGUAGCUGGUCUGAGAGGACGAC
rnacentral:rRNA from 1 species